AACGAACGCUGGCGGCGCGUCUUAAGCAUGCAAGUCGAACGGCAAGAGAGAAGCUUGCUUCUCUCCUAGAGUGGCGGAUGGUGAGGAACACGUGGGUAAUCUACCCUUAAGAUGGGGAUAGCUGCUAGAAAUAGCAGGUAUACCGAAUACACUCAAAGUUUCACAAGAGGUUUUGAGGAAAGGAAGCUACGGCUUCGCUUGAGGAUGAGCUUGCGUCCCAUUAGCUAGUUGGUGAGGUAAAGGCCCACCAAGGCGACGAUGGGUAUCCGGCCUGAGAGGGUGAUCGGACACAUUGGGACUGAGAUACGGCCCAAACUCCUACGGGAGGCAGCAGCUAAGAAUAUCCGCAAUGGACGGAAGUCUGACGGAGCGACGCCGCGUGGAUGAAGAAGGCUGAAAAGUUUAAAAUCCUUGUGAUGAAGAAUAAGGGUGAGAGGGAAUGCCAUCUGAUGACGGUAAUCGCGAAUAGCCCCGGCUAA
rnacentral:rRNA from 1 species